UGAGGAAUAUUGCGCAAUGGGGGGCAACCCUGACGCAGCGACGCCGCGUGGAUGAUGAAGGCCUUCGGGUUGUAAAAUACCUGUCAGAUGGGAAGAACGGUAGGAGGGUUAACGAGCCCUGUUAUUUGUACGGUACCAUCAAAGGAAGCACCGGCUAACUCCGUGCC
rnacentral:rRNA from 1 species